CGGGUGAGUAACACGUAUGCAACCUGCCUGUAAGCGGGGAAUAACCCGUUGAAAGACGGACUAAUACCGCAUAAUACUAAAUUACUGCAUGGUAAUUUAUUUAACAUUAUGCUUACAGAUGGGCAUGCGCAUGAUUAGCCAGUUGGAGAGGUAACGGCUCCCCAAGGCAACGAUCAUUAGGGGUUCUGAGAGGAAGGUCCCCCCACACUGGUACUGAGACACGGACCAGACUCCUACGGGAGGCAGCAGUGAGGAAUAUUGGUCAAUGGACGAGAGUCUGAACCAGCCAAGUCGCGUGCAGGAAGAAUUGUCCUAUGGAUUGUAAACUGCUUUUGCAGGGGAAUAAAGUGCAUCACGUGUGAUGUUUUGUAUGUACUCUGCGAAUAAGGAUCGGCUAACUCCGUGCCAGCCGCCGC
rnacentral:rRNA from 1 species